GACGAACGCUGGCGGCGUGCUUAACACAUGCAAGUCGAACGGAAAGGCCCUGCUUUUGUGGGGUGCUCGAGUGGCGAACGGGUGAGUAACACGUGAGUAACCUGCCCUUGACUUUGGGAUAACUUCAGGAAACUGGGGCUAAUACCGGAUAGGAGCUCCUGCUGCAUGGUGGGGGUUGGAAAGUUUCGGCGGUUGGGGAUGGACUCGCGGCUUAUCAGCUUGUUGGUGGGGUAGUGGCUUACCAAGGCUUUGACGGGUAGCCGGCCUGAGAGGGUGACCGGCGACCUUGGGACUGAGAUACGGCCCAGACUCCUACGGGGGGCAGCAGUGGGGAAUAUUGCACAAUGGGCGGAAGCCUGAUGCAGCAACGCCGCGUGCGGGAUGACGGCCUUCGGGUUGUAAACCGCUUUCGCCUGUGACGAAGCGUGAGUGACGGUAAUGGGUAAAGAAGCACCGGCUAACUACGUG
rnacentral:rRNA from 1 species